UACCAUUCAGGGAUUAAAGGCGCAACGAUAUGUAUAAUGUAUAUAUCGUCACACCCUUAAUCCCCGAAGGGUA
rnacentral:pre_miRNA from 1 species